rnacentral:rRNA from 1 species
UAGGGAAUCUUCGGCAAUGGACGAAAGUCUGACCGAGCAACGCCGCGUGAGUGAAGAAGGUUUUCGGAUCGUAAAACUCUGUUGUUAGAGAAGAACAAGGACGUUAGUAACUGAACGUCCCCUGACGGUAUCUAACCAGAAAGCCACGGCUAACUACGUGCCAGCAGCCGCGGUAAUACGUAGGUGGCAAGCGUUGUCCGGAUUUAUUGGGCGUAAAGCGAGCGCAGGCGGUUUCUUAAGUCUGAUGUGAAAGCCCCCGGCUCAACCGGGGAGGGUCAUUGGGAACUGGGAGACUUGAGUGCAGAAGAGGAGAGUGGAAUUCCAUGUGUAGCGGUGAAAUGCGUAGAUAUAUGGAGGAACACCAGUGGCGAAGGCGGCUAUCUGGUCUGUAACUGACGCUGAGGCUCGAAAGCGUGCGGAGCAAACAGG